UUGAGCCGUAUGCAGGGAAACUUGCACGUACGGUUCUUAGGGGGCGGUGGUGCAGUAAUGUACUGCUGCUACCCGAC
rfam:Xenorhabdus beddingii strain DSM 4764 Xbed_32, whole genome shotgun sequence.